rnacentral:misc_RNA from 1 species
GAUGAAGAACGUAGUGAAAUGCGAUACGUAAUGUGAAUUGCAAAUUCAGUGAAUCAUCGAGUCUUUGAACGCACAUUGCGCCCCCUGGUAUUCCGGGGGGCAUGCCUGUCCGAGCGUCAUUGCUGCCCUCAAGCACGGCUUGUGUGUUGGGCCCCGUCCUCCGAUCCCGGGGGACGGGCCCGAAAGGCAGCGGCGGCACCGCGUCCGGUCCUCGAGCGUAUGGGGCUUUGUCACCCGCUCUGUAGGCCCGGCCGGCGCUUGCCAAUCAACCCAAAUUUUUUAUCCAGGUUGACCUCGGAUCAGGUAGGGAUACCCGCUGAACUUAAGCAUAUCAAUAAGCGGAGGA